rnacentral:rRNA from 1 species
GACGAACGCUGGCAGCGUGCCUAAUACAUGCAAGUCGAGCGAAUGACGAGAAGCUUGCUUCUCUGAUUUAGCGGCGGACGGGUGAGUAACACGUGGGCAACCUGCCCUACAGAUCGAGAUAACUCAGGGAAACCUGGGCUAAUACCGGAUAAUCCUUCGAAUCACAUGUUUUGAAGCUGAAAGGCGCUUCGGCGUCACUGUAGGAUGGGCCCGCGGUGCAUUAGCUAGUUGGUGGGGUAACGGCCUACCAAGGCAACGGUGCAUAGCCGACCUGGGAGGGUGAUCGGCCACAUUGGGACUGAGACACGGCCCAAACUCCUACGGGAGGCAGCAGUAGGGAAUCUUCCACAAUGGACGAAAGUCUGAUGGAGCAACGCCGCGUGAGUGAUGAAGGUUUUCGGAUCGUAAAACUCUGUUGUAAGGGAAGAACAAGUACGUUAGGAAAUGAACGUACCUUGACGGUACCUUAUUAGAAAGCCACGGCUAACUACGUGCCAGCAGCCGCCGCAG